ensembl:snRNA U4 U4 spliceosomal RNA
AUUCUUUUGCAGUAGCAGUAUCGUAGCCUAUGAGGUCUAUCCGAGGUGUGAUUUUUGUUAGUUAAAAAAUGUACCCAAUUUCCAUCUGAACGAUUUGAAAUAUAAUCGGCCAAGACAAUUUUUGCCAGUCUCUUUGGAGA